rnacentral:tRNA from 1 species
GCCGCUUUAGUUCAUCGGUAGAACGGGGAACUCGUAAUUCUCAAAGGGCAGUCCGACUCUGCCAUGCUGCACCA